rnacentral:rRNA from 1 species
ACACGACUCUCGGCAACGGAUAUCUCGGCUCUCGCAUCGAUGAAGAACGUAGCGAAAUGCGAUACCUGGUGUGAAUUGCAGAAUCCCGCGAACCAUCGAGUCUUUGAACGCAAGUUGCGCCCGAGGCCACUCGGCCGAGGGCANGCCUGCCUGGGCGUCACGC